rnacentral:rRNA from 1 species
GACGAACGCUGGCGGCGUGCCUAAUACAUGCAAGUAGAACGCAGUUGCGAACGGGUGAGUAACGUGUAGGUAACUGCCUCAUAGCGGGGGAUAACUAUCGGCAACGAUAGCUAAUACCGCAUACUGUGAGAUGGACCUGCGUUGUAUUGGGUAGUUGGUGAGGGAAAGGCUCACCAAGGCGACGAUACAUAGCCGACCUGAGAGGGUGGUCGGCCACUCUGGGGACGGGACGCGGCUCAUACUGCUACGGGAAGCCGCGAUAGGGAAUCUUCGGCAAUGGACGGAAGUCUGGCCGCGCAACGGCGCGUGAGUGAAGAAGGUUUUGGGGUCGUGAAACUCUGUUGUUAGGGGAGCGGUAACUAACCAGAAAGGAACGGCUAACUACGUGCCAGCAGCCGCGGUAAUAC